CAGUAGCCGCGGUAAUACGUAGGGUGCAAGCGUUAAUCGGAAUUACUGGGCGUAAAGCGCACGCAGGCGGUUUGUUAAGUCAGAUGUGAAAUCCCCGAGCUUAACUUGGGAACUGCAUUCGAAACUGGCAAGCUAGAGUCUUGUAGAGGGGGGUAGAAUUCCAGGUGUAGCGGUGAGAUGCGUAGAGAUCUGGAGGAAUACCGGUGGCGAAGGCGGCCACCUGGACAAAGACUGACGCUCAGGUGCGAAAGCGUGGGGAGCAAACAGGAUUAGAUACCCCAGUAGUCCCUGUCUCUUAUAA
rnacentral:rRNA from 1 species